GCCUUUUUAACUCAGUAGGUAGAGUUUUUGCAUGGUAAGCAAAAGGUCGCCGGUUCAAGUCCGGCAAGAGGCU
rnacentral:tRNA from 1 species